UACGAAGGGGCUAGGCGUUGCUCGGAAUUACUGGGCGUAAAGCGCACGUAGGCGGUCUUUUAAGUCGGGGGUGGAAAUCCAUGGAGCUCAACUCCAGAACUGCCUUUGAUACUGAAAGUACUUGAGUAUGGGAGGAGGUGAGUGGAACUGCGAGUGUAGAGGUGAAAAUUCGUAGAUAUUCGCAAGAACACCAGUGGCGAAGGCGGCUCACUGGCCCAUAACUGACGCUGAGGCACGAAAGCGUGGGGAGCAAACAGG
rnacentral:rRNA from 1 species